AUUGCUGCGAUGAGCUGUAACACAUGAGUAGCCCAACCAAUUGAUUUGUCCUUCUUCAUAAUAUUCUUUUACGCUUGGUUUUUGAGCUGA